UCCCAAAAAAAGGGACCCCCCAAAAAAAAAAAAAAAUCAGCCAACUGCUCUGAAUUCUGGGAAUUCCAGGGUUACUGUCAUGGAUCUUGGAUUGGGAAAAUAUUGGGAAUCCCUGCCAUUCAGGAAAAUCCCCUACUUCAAAGCCAUUUCCUGAUGCCACUGAGGAUGCCUGGAGCAUCAGAGCUGCCAAGAGCUCAGCUGCUUCCUGGCAAAAUAUUGAUGAGGCCAGGGAGACAGAAGUGUUUUUACCAGCAAGUCUUCUGGCUGCUCAGAGGACUUCUGUUCAAGUAAGACACUCCCAGAAUGUUCUCAGCUUUGGAACAUUGUCUUCUUACCUGCCCCAGAGGUCACAGGCUGGUUAGUUCUGCUGACGUCGAAUUGCCGAGUGUUUACUUUUUUAGUGGAAAAUUGGUUGUUUGCUCUUCAUCAGCAUCAGUUUGGAAUCCAUCUCUCCCAAUGCAAUGGAUCCUCAGCCUAUGCAGUGACAGCCUACCUACUUCUAAGUGGAACCUGGGAUAAGCUACUGCUGCUCAGUAACAGGAGAACCAUGUGAAUGUGAUGGAGAUUUGGACAUGACAGAGAUCCCGCUCCACUUCUAGCACUGAUAUGUUCCAGGAUGGAGAGCCCACAGCAUCAUUUAAUCUCCCAAGGAGAGAAAAGUAACACACAAAAAGGAACUCUUGGAAUUCAGGGCACUUGGCCCUCAGCCAGAUGAUUUUGAGCAAAUAAUGAACAAGAGGGAGAGAACCUGCCUAGGGUGAACUGAGGAAUUCGUGCUAAGCCAUCCUGGCAUCAGUAGGAGCAUGCAGCAAGGCAAGAAAGCUACAAGCACUGAAAGCCAAAAGGCUGCAAAAUAAAGUGAAGAUGGAGGAUCUGGUGCAGAGACAAAUGUAGAGCUCUUGAGAAGUGCAGAGGUAAAGGAGCAGGGCAGACAAUCUUCUCCUGGGAAAUAUGUCUAAUCCUCCACUCCAAAACCUUCAGAAUAUGGUCAAAUUGUGUCACUGCUCAUGGUAUUUGCCCUACAGAUUUCUUGUAUGCCUCUCAUAAAUCCUUGUUUAGACUUUGAUCCACCCAGCAACUUUAUCCAUUUUUACUUCAUCACCCCUUUCCCAGCUGUCCUCCACCCCACCCAGUCUUCUGGCUUGUCCUGCAGCUUCCACACACCCCUAUACUUUCUUCAGAAGGCUUUGUGUCUGGCUUGAAUGAAGAUCUCUGAUCCUCUCUUUCCAGUCCUGACACUCAGCUUACUCUACUGACAUCUCUGGUGGCUUCUUUCUUACUCACAUGUUAAAAGCUCACAAAGCCUUGUUCUUAAAAGAGAUGAGACAUUAGGGUGUGAGAUGAACACAGCUGAAUUCAUAUUUAAGACCACAUUUUUAUGCCCACUAGGUAAUAUGAUAUUGCUGACCAUGUAUAAGGAUGUCACAGAACUAGACAACACGCCUGAAGUUCACACUGGACUGUGAGUGGCACAGCAGGAGAGUUCAAGUACCAAUGACUUGAAGAGCAGCCAAUUCUAUCAGUGCUGGCUACAAUUAAAAGAAUUCCUUGCUUUGGGAGGCCUGGGCCAAGGGGCUGAGAGACCUUCUUUCUGUCAAAUCAUUGUCAUGUGUGAGGCUAAACUGUCUCAUUAUUCUGGCAUUUUGGUAUCGUCCUUCCAGACUAAGUUCUCAUUCUCCUAUGUCUUGAAACUAUGUUCUCCCUCUGUUGGGCCAAAUAAGACCCCAGUCCAACUUCUUUCUUCAAGACCUUUCAGCAUUUGGUUAUUUUAGAUCCCUGUGCAAUCUCAGCUGGGAUGCCUUUUGAGUACAAUAGCAUGUACCAGGUGCACACAUUCAGUUUCCACUAACAUAGUGCCAGUAGCAAGUCUCUUCUUGCAUGGUUCCAGUGGGAAACAGAUGUAAGAUGAACUGCAGAAGAAUCCUACAGUGAUGGAAUCAGCUCGGUCAGACACCCAGGACAAUACCAUCUGCCUCACUCAGAGACCAACAGUUGUGGGCAUCAGCAUGUGAAUCCCUGGGAGCACAAAAGAGCAGAUGCUUCAAACCCUUUGAGGUUGACCCAUUGCUGAGCAACGUUCCUAGUGUUUGGCUCUGCCUCAAGACAAGCCUUGAGUUUCAUGCAGUUAUAAGGGCAGAAGUCAGCUCUGAUAGAAUCAGAAUGGGUCGCCUGAAAUGAAAGCUCAGCAUUGGGUGUGUAGUAAAAAACAUGCCAGAUGUCCAACUGGGCAAAACAUGAAAGAGGUGUGAGUGGGUAAGAGGCAUGAAACAAGCCUUUCCUCAUUGCUUGCUGCACAGCUGGUUUAAAUGUGUCAAUACAGGUAUUGCAGGGAUUUUGCAACUCUCCUCUUAUCCUGGUAGGGGCCCUGAGUUUUGGAUACACCUGAUUCCCAUUCAGAUGUAUGUUGUUAACCCAUAUUGGAGCUGGGACCAUAUGGUGUGUGAUGGAAAUUAGAUUGUCUCAAAACUUCUCCAUUAGAUUGUCUCAGUACUUCUUAUUGCAGAAGCAAAGGGAAGGGCCCCUGAUCAUGGCUGGCUGGCAGACCCAAAUUUUCCCUUUUGCCUCUGUGACCAUGAUAAGUGCGAGCAGCUGUUUGCAAGUAGAACACGAAUUAUAUGGCACACUGUCAGAUAUAGGCAAGUAAAUGUCAUUUCAUAUAACUUAUUUCCACAUUUCAUGAAAUUACAGUGUCAUACCAAAGGGCAAGACUCUUCUAAAUGGAAGUUACACUUGUAGAAGCUGGUGAAACCAAAGACCAAACCUGAUACACCGUCCUGGGCAGAGUAUAUUCAUUCAGAGCUAUUUGCCUUGUUUGUCUUCACAGAGCAGUCAGGUAGGGUUCAGCAGGAGAAUGAUGUUAAAAGUGGACUUGAAGAACAGGCCCAACAAUCAUCCUUCCCCCAUCCCCCAAAAGAAGCCUUUCUCUCCACGGUGCAGUCUUUUUCUCAAGUGGACAGAGACUCUGCGACGCCAGAUGAAAUGAAUUGCAUCAUUUGAUGGAUUUUAUCUUCAAUCAAAGUGCACCUCUCUCUUUAGCAGAAAAGCUGUAAAAAUGUCUUGAUUAAACAUGAAAUCUCCAAGGUGA